AUUCUAGAUACUGCAGUCAUGGUUACCUGUUGGGGUAGAGAUACUACAUUAAACACAACUAACAAGUCAAUGAAAAAGGAAACACGGACACUAAACGCCGCAUUGCCAGAUGCUGUUAUAAUUGGUGGAGCUGCCGGUGGUGCAUGUCUGUUAUUAGUUCUAGCUAUAGUAGUUGUUGUAUGCUUAGUCAAAAGAAGAAAGAACAAAAACUACGACAAACCAUUUCCUAAAGAAACAGGAGAAACCUGUUAUGAAAACAUUCACCAUGACGAACCUACCAGUAUGGAUAAUGAUUUACAUGUUAGCACCGAUAAUACCAACAGUAGCGACAGAGAUUCAAAGGGAAACAAACCAUCAACUGAUAUGAUCUAUCUGGAGAAUGAUAUGUAUGUUAGUUGUGACUCCGUUACCACCGCAGCUAAGUUUUCCCCGAGCAGACAAGGUGAUGUUAGUGUUCAUACCGUUCCAAACCAUUCCAGUCCAACCAAACGUUCUCCUAGCAGCCCAGACUAUACCGAUAUUGAUGACUUUCCUGGACAAAAACAGGAUAAACUACAAGAACAAUCCACAAGUAACACGACGAAAGAUUUUGUCGUGGACAAGAAUCAGAAUGUUAAUAAUGUUUACGCUGUGGUCAACAAAAAAACAAAGAGUAAACCGACAGAUGCUUCACCUGGUAAAUCCAAAACCCAAAUUGAUGAAAUUCCAUCUCAAACCUUUUCCGUGGUUCAAAGUCCUAAUCCUAAUAACGUUUACGCCGUAGUGAACAAUAGGCCGAAAGUGGCGAAUAAAACACCUUAUCCGACAAAACCAGUAAAGCCCGUUAAACCGCUUGUAGCAUCGAAACCUAAAAUCUGAAUGCAAGAAAGUUACAACAUAAGACUGUUGAUAAUAGCAGUUGAUUUUCUAGCUGAAAUAUACUCCAGUCACUAUAAGUGUUUUCCCAAAAAAAUCGGAUUGUCUAGCAGGCUAUGCCUAUCUUCUGUGGAACGCCUUGUGUCACUCUUCAAACGGUAUUGACCUUCUAAGAUCAUGGGUUGAUUAUGUCCGAACUUCUUCAUACCACGUUGACAUUCUAUCACAGUGGCGACUUUAAAAUUGUUUAGGACUCAGUGUGUUUUUAUGACUAAGGAGUGUCAUACAAUGUUCUGUUGUAUAUGUGUAUAUUUAUCUAUGGAACAAAGAUCAGAAUGUUGAACAACACAAACUAAUCUAUUAUGAAAAACAUUUUCUUCCCAGAGGACUAUUAACGUCUUAUAUAUAUGUAAGACAAAAAAGUUUUGAUAGCACAAUGGCUAAAUAAUUAUUACUAAAUGUAUGAUUUUUGUUUGUACUUUUAUUCAAGUUUGUGUUAUUUUUAUACAGAUCUAUCGUACUUUGUCCUAGAUAAUUUUUCCUAGCUGGUCUGUCGUUUCGUAUAUUUCUAUAGGGAUCUAACAGUGAUUUCAGGACUAAUACAAUUGUUCGGUAAUCAGUGGGCAUUAACUAUUGGGGGCACCAAUAAGCAUCACCGACAAUCGGUGUAGCUAAUCACUAAGCAAUACAAUAAUAGAGUACUUGUUUGUAACUCUGUGUUCUUUAUCGAGGACCUGGGGAGGAACAGCGAAAACGGCAGUUCUGUUUACAUGAUUACGUACACGUAAAUGAACACUUUGCAGUUGGAAUCUAGUGACCGCGCACUAUUCUCCUACAUGGUAUAUGUCAGUCUGUAUUAGUCCUCUUGGUACAUAAAUAUAGGACGUUAAAACCCAUUUCAAUUCAGAUCAGUUUCCAUAUGAAGAAUGAUGAUGAAAUGCUUCUUAUAUAAAGGUUGUGCCAAUCACCAAUUGGUACAUUCAUGGACCGUAUAUACAUGGACCGUUUCGUAUUGCUUUAAAUUAUAACAAUAUUAAUCUACAUUAUGAUUCGGGUUAGAUAUAGAUGUAAAAGUGAGAUAUAUUGUGUUAUUAUCAGCGCUGAACAUUUGCCAAAACACUAACUAUGAGUUAUGCUUUUGACUAAACCACCUAACAGUGUUAUUGUAAUAAAAGGACCCGUAUAAUAAAACAUAUUUUAUUCUUGUUUUGUUUCAACCCAUUGCAUUGUAAUAGAACAGUCGUGUUGUUUAAAUGACCUGUAUUAUAAUAAGCUAACAUUUAGGUUCUCUAUAUAUUUGAUUUAAUUUGAUUUUAUAAUAAUACGUCUUUUAUUUUCGUUUUGUCAACUCAUUGGGUUGUAAUACACAAAAUGUCUUAUUAUUUAAAUGACCUGUAUUAUAAUAAACCUUACAUUUA